rnacentral:rRNA from 2 species
CAAGUCGAACGAUGAAGUGGAGCUUGCUCCACGGAUUAGUGGCGAACGGGUGAGUAACACGUGAAUAACCUGCCCUCAAUUUCGGAAUAACCCAGGGAAACCUGGGCUAAUACCGGAUACGUAAACCUGUGGCAUCACAUGGUUUUGGAAAGUUUUUCGAUUGAGGAUGGAUUCGCGGCCUAUCAGCUUGUUGGUGAGGUAAUGGCUCACCAAGGCGACGACGGGUAGCCGGCCUGAGAGGGUGAACGGCCACACUGGGACUGAGACACGGCCCAGACUCC